rnacentral:rRNA from 1 species
AUUGAACGCUGGCGGCAGGCCUAACACAUGCAAGUCGAGCGGAUGAAGGAGGCUUGCUCCUGGCUUCAGCGGCGGACGGGUGGGUGAUGCCUAGGAAUCUGACUGGUAGAGGGGGAUAACGUCAGGAAAGGGGAGCUAAUACAGCAUAGGUCCUGAGGGUGAAAGUGGGGGAUCUUCGGACAUCACGCUAUCAGAUGAGCCUAGGUCGGAUUAGCGAGUUGGUGGGGUAAAGGCCUACCAAGGCGACGAUCCGUAACUGCUCUGAGAGGAUGAUCAGUCACACUGGAACUGAGACACGGUCCAGACUCCUACGGGAGGCAGCAGUGGGGAAUCUUCGACAAAGGGCGAAAGCCUGACCCAGCCACGCCGCGUGAGUGAAGAAGGUCUUCGGAUUGUAAAGCACUUUUAGUUGGGAGGAAGGGCAGUAUGUUAAUCCCUGGCUGUUUUGACGGUACCAACAGAAAAAGCACCGGCUAACUUCGUG